AGACUAACGCCCGUGUUCUACAAGCUCACUCACACUCAAAGAGUGGAGGUUCAAUCUGAGCUUCUCUUGAGUGUCAAUGCUGUUUUUGAAUAGCUGCAGGGUGAGUAGUCACAUAGUAAGGUACGAGACUAACGCCCGUGUUCUACAAGCUCACUCACACUCAAAGAGUGGAGGUUCAAUCUGAGCUUCUCUUGAGUGUCAAUGCUGUUUUUGAAUAGCUGCAGGGUGAGUAGUCACAUAGUAAGGUACGAGACUAACGCCCGUGUUCUACAAGCUCACUCACACUCAAAGAGUGGAGGUUCAAUCUGAGCUUCUCUUGAGUGUCAAUGCUGUUUUUGAAUAGCUGCAGGGUGAGUAGUCACAUAGUAAGGUACGAGACUAACGCCCGUGUUCUACAAGCUCACUCACACUCAAAGAGUGGAGGUUCAAUCUGAGCUUCUCUUGAGUGUCAAUGCUGUUUUUGAAUAGCUGCAGGGUGAGUAGUCACAUAGUAAGGUACGAGACUAACGCCCGUGUUCUACAAGCUCACUCACACUCAAAGAGUGGAGGUUCAAUCUGAGCUUCUCUUGAGUGUCAAUGCUGUUUUUGAAUAGCUGACGGGUUAGUGUUGUAAAUUACUCUGUGGCUACUCAUCCUCCAGCUAUUCAAAAACAGCACUGACGCUCAAGAAAAACUCAGAUUGAACCUCCACUCUUUGAGUGUGAGUGAGCUUUCAGAAUACAGGCGUAACCUUCUAGCUAUUCAACAAGUACGAUCG